rnacentral:lncRNA from 1 species
CACUUUGAAUGGAGCUGUUAAAGCAUGAGUAGACUUUGCAUACAAUUUGAGGAAUGGACAGAAACAAGCAUUCACGGAAACAGCCUAAGUGAAAGGACAGAGGUGGGAAGGAACAAGACAGAUCAGAGCCACCUUCGUCUUGCAUUUAAUCACAGCACCACUGGUACUCCAUCUAACAUGGAUGUCACCACCACAAGCAGCUGCUGGAGCGUCCUCACCAAUGAACUCAGGGGAUGGAUUUUCAGGUGCGUCUAGAUGAAUAAGGUCCAGGAAGAGCAAUGGCAACUUGCGAAAAGAAGAGUGAGGGAGAGCAGGAUGCUUCCCCUUUCAUGAAGCUGCACCACAAAGAACUGGAAAAUAAAGAAUCUGGUCCUGGCAAAAAGAAAGUAGAUGGACAGAGUUUUCAAGAGGUCCCCAAAAUUGCUCCAGGCAGAUGUGGGAGGGACAGAGUGGAGCAGCGGCCCACUAGAUGAGUGGGUGAAAAAUGGCUGUGCUAGCAGCAACAACUCAAAACCUGCUUCACUAGAUGGAAAGCAUAGAGUCGGAUCCUUACCUUACACUGUGUAAAAAGGCAAAGUUCUGUUGGAUUUAAUACCUAGAUGUAAAAAGUGAAGCCAUAAAGCAGAGACAAAAAGGUG